UACCCUAUGUACAUGUACACAUGUAUACACACACGUAUAAAUGCAUACAUACACACAUAUGGGUGUGCUUAGGAAUGGAAUAGGUG
rnacentral:miRNA from 1 species